rnacentral:rRNA from 1 species
CUUCGGGUGUGUAUAGAGUGGCGAACGGGUGAGUAACACGUGACCAACCUGCCUCUUACAUUGGGACAACCAAAAGAAAUUCUGGCUAAUACCAAAUACUCCGCACAUAUCACAUGAUGUAUGCGGGAAAGCUUUUGCGGUAAGAGAUGGGGUCGCGGCCCAUUAGGUAGACGGCGGGGUAGAAGCCCACCGUGCCGAUGAUGGGUAGCCGGGUUGAGAGACCGACCGGCCACAUUGGGACUGAGAUACGGCCCAGACUCCUACGGGAGGCAGCAGUGGGGAAUAUUGCGCAAUGGGGGAAACCCUGACGCAGCAACGCCGCGUGCGGGAUGAAGGCCUUCGGGUUGUAAACCGCUUUCAGCAGGGAAGACAUCGACGGUACCUGCAGAAGAAGCCCCGGCUAACUACGUGCCAGCAGCCGCGGUAAUACGUAGGGGGCGAGCGUUAUCCGGAUUCAUUGGGCGUAAAGCGCGCGCAGGCGGUUGCUCAAGCGGAACCUCUAAUCUCGGGGCUUAACCUCGGGCCGGGUCCCGAACUGGACGACUCGAGUGCGGUAGAGGCAGAUGGAAUUCCCGGUG